AUUGAACGCUGGCGGCAGGCCUAACACAUGCAAGUCGAGCGGAUGACGGGAGCUUGCUCCUUGAUUCAGCGGCGGACGGGUGAGUAAUGCCUAGGAAUCUGCCUGGUAGAGGGGGACAACGUUUCGAAAGGAGCGCUAAUACUGCAUACGUCCUACGGGAGAAAGCAGGGGACCUUCGGGCCUUGCGCUAUCAGAUGAGCCUAGGUCGGAUUAGCUAGUUGGUGGGGUAAUGGCUCACCAAGGCGACGAUCCGUAACUGGUAUGAGAGGAUGACCAGUCACACUGGAACUGGGACACGGUCAAGACUCCUACGGGAGGCAGCAGUGGGGAAUAUUGGACAAUGGGCGAAAGCCUGAUCCAGCCAUGCCUCGUGUGGGAAGAAGGUCUUCGGAUUGUAAAGCACUUUAAGUUGGGAGGGAGGGCAGUAAGUUAAUACUUUGCUGUUUUGACGUUACCGACAGAAUAAGCACCGGCUAACUCUGUGCCAGCAGCCGCCGUAACAC
rnacentral:rRNA from 1 species